GAAACUGCUCGCACAGGCUGAUGAGCUCGAUAUUCCGGUUAUCGAAGAUGCGGCUUAUCAGUAUCUUCGCUACAAUGGCGAUGCGAUUUCGCCA
rnacentral:tRNA from 1 species